GAUGAAGAACGCAGCGAAAUGCGAUAAGUAAUGUGAAUUGCAGAAUUCAGUGAAUCAUCGAAUCUUUGAACGCACAUUGCGCCCUCUGGUAUUCCGGGGGGCAUGCCUGUCCGAGCGUCAUUGCUGCCCUCAAGCACGGCUUGUGUGUUGGGCCUCCGUCCUCCUCCCGGGGGACGGGCCCGAAAGGCAGCGGCGGCACCGCGUCCGGUCCUCGAGCGUAUGGGGCUUCGUCACCCGCUCUUGUAGGCCCGGCCGGCGCUUGCCGACACAUCAAUCUUUUUUCCAGGUUGACCUCGGAUCAGGUAGGGAUACCCGCUGAACUUAAGCAUAUCAAUAAGCGGAGGA
rnacentral:misc_RNA from 1 species